rnacentral:rRNA from 1 species
CCUACGGGAGGCAGCAGUGGGGAAUAUUGGGCAAUGGGCGCAAGCCUGACCCAGCAACGCCGCGUGAAGGAAGAAGGCUCUCGGGUUGUAAACUUCUUUUAUCAGGGACGAAACAAGUGACGGUACCUGAUGAAUAAGCCACGGCUAACUAAGUGCCAGCAGCCGCGGUAAUACGUAGGUGGCAAGCGUUAUCCGGAUUUACUGGGUGUAAAGGGCGUGUAGGCGGGAAAGCAAGUCAGAUGUGAAAACCAUGGGCUCAACCUGUGGCCUGCAUUUGAAACUGUUUUUCUUGAGUACUGGAGAGGCAGGCGGAAUGCCUAGUGUAGCGGUGAAAUGCGUAGAUAUCAGGCGGAACACCAGUGGCGAAGGCGGUCUGCUGGACAGCAACUGACGCUGAGGCGCGAAAGCGUGGGGAGCAAACAGGAUUAGAUACCCCAGUAGUC